rnacentral:lncRNA from 1 species
GCAGCUACAACAUCUUUCAGGAAAUUGUUGUAUUGAGGAAUCAACAUGAAAGCAUCGAUGAUGGGCAUUGCAACCUGAGCUUCACUCAUUUGCUUCUCAAACAGAGCUUUGUACUUCUCUAGCAGCUGCUUCUUGAAUCUACCAGGGAAUGGAAGUUUGGGUUCAUAGGGAGGAGGAACAAAAGAACUUUCACUUGCUGGAGUAACAACUUCACCAUCCUUUAUUGUCUUCUUCUUCUCUCCAACCUUUCCUUUACCUUUGGCUUCCACUAUCUUCU